AUUGAACGCUGGCGGCAUGCUUUACACAUGCAAGUCGAACGGUAACAGGUUAAGCUGACGAGUGGCGAACGGGUGAGUAAUGUAUCGGAACGUGCCCGAUCGUGGGGGAUAACGCAGCGAAAGCUGCGCUAAUACCGCAUACGAUCUGAGGAUGAAAGCGGGGGACCGUAAGGUCCCGCGCGAUCGGAGCGGCCGAUGUCGGAUUAGGUAGUUGGUGGGGUAAAGGCCCACCAAGCCGACGAUCUGUAGCUGGUCUGAGAGGACGACCAGCCACACUGGGACUGAGACACGGCCCAGACUCCUACGGGAGGCAGCAGUGGGGAAUUUUGGACAAUGGGCGAAAGCCUGAUCCAGCAAUGCCGCGUGCAGGAAGAAGGCCUUCGGGUUGUAAACUGCUUUUGUACGGAGCGAAAAGGUCCUUUCUAAUACAAGGGGCUCAUGACGGUACCGUAAGAAUAAGCACCGGCUAACUACGUGCCAGCCGCCGCCGUAA
rnacentral:rRNA from 1 species